rnacentral:misc_RNA from 1 species
UAUCCGUAGGUGAACCUGCGGAUGGAUCAUUAACACAAUCCCAUCAAAAAAAAAAAAAAAAGGAUCCAAACCAAACAUUUGGCUUCCCUUUUUUUUUUUUUUUAACCCACCCCACCAACCGAACUUUUCAACGGUAAGUUUUUCUAACUCUUAUAUGGAUUGAGUCAUUUCAAGGAGUUAUUUUCCUUUCUUUUUUUUUCACUUUUUUUCUUUCUUUUAAACCACACAAACGAACCAAAUCAAAUUGACUUAAACUUUUUUUUUUUCCCCUCUUCCUCUUGAAGAAGAAGAAGAAGAAGAAAAAAAAAAAUCAAACAAACUAAUGUACAACUCUUAACAACGGAUAUCUUGGCUCUC